GACGAACGCUGGCGGCGUGCCUAACACAUGCAAGUCGAGCGGAGUUGUCUGCAGCACUAAGCACUUUAAGGUUGGCGCCUUAGCGUCAAGCAGAAAUAACGACAGACUUAUACAUUAAGAAAUUUCUGCUUCACGCGUUUAUCAAGUGCCAACACAAAUAGAGUGUUAAGUGCUGUAGACAACUUAGCGGCGGACGGGUGAGUAACGCGUGGGCAACCUGCCUCAUACAGGGGGGAUAACACAGGGGAAACUUGUGCUAAUACCGCAUAAUAUCACUUAGGGGCAUCCCUGGGUGAUCAAAGGAGAAAUCCGGUAUGAGAUGGGCCCGCGUCCAAUUAGCUAGUUGGUAGUGUAAUGGACUACCAAGGCGACGAUUGGUAGCCGAACUGAGGGUUGAUCGGCCACAUUGGGACUGAGACACGGCCCAGACUCCUACGGGAGGCAGCAGUGGGGAAUAUUGCGCAAGUGGGGGAAACCCUGGACGCAGCAACC
rnacentral:rRNA from 1 species